rnacentral:lncRNA from 1 species
GGAUAUACGCUGCAGUUGCAUCCUGCUGCCUGAUCUGCAUUGCUGUAUCUUUGGCAGAAAUACCCAGCAUAUAUCAUACAGGAUGCAGGGAGAGACUGAACAAUUCUAAACCUUGGAUAGCCAUCCAGAGCAUCUUGCUGUAUGGCUGGAUGGGACAGGAAAGAACAGAAAAUCUCAAGCCUCCAGCAACAACUGGAAGUAGACAUCGUUGGAGACUGGACCCUGGACUACAGAACCAGCCUGUGCCUGCUGCAGAGCAUCUGUGGUCCCACAGGUCGGUGUCUGUGCAGAAACAGAGGAGCGUUGCACAGCAAAGCUCCUGAUGCUCCUGACACUCAUGCUGACUGCCCAGAAAAAAUCAUCUUACACGCUAAUUACAUUACAGUGAUUUAUGUGCCCUGGCAUCCAAAAGUGGUCAGAGCUUGUGGAAAGGACUUUUUUAAAAAAACUUUUCAUAAUGAAAAGAGCACAUUCUUCCUAAUUACUAGUGAAGCCACUGCUCCUACUAAGUACUAAUAUAGGCAUUUCUUCUGCAGCCCUCCAGGGUGAGGCUUUGUUUUCUCAAGUUAUCUGCAUUAUGAGCAAGAAACAAGCUGUAGACCACACUGCAAUUCCCAGCAGUGCUGAGCUUUUACUUCCAAGUGAAGUACCUGAAGUGCUCCUGACCUCUGGAAGUUGCCUUCUGGCUGAUAACUAAUUAUAUUAUCUGGCUGAUAUUAAUUAGUUAUUACAACAAUUAUUAUAAUAUUUAUAUUAGUCAUUAACAUGCUAAUUGUAAUAAUUAUUCUAAGUUAUUAUUGUAACUAAUUAUUAUUAUCUGGAUGAUAAUAAGAUUUCUGAUCUGUUUCUGCAGGGCUCUGUCCUGGCAGGAUACUCUCCCCUCUCCUUGUAUAUACGCUCUCCCAGAGCAUCUCCAAGUACCACUUGGGUGUCAUAAAUUUUCAUUAUGCAUGUAAGAGAAAUAUAUAAGAGAAGGUAGGUAUGUUUGGAAAGAAAACAUGACUGCUUUAGCCCUCCACUGCAGCACUACAGAACAGGAAAGGACCAACAGGAUAGCCGAGUGAAACCACAGCCGUAAUUGUAGUGGAGUGGUUUCAUAAAGAACUGCUAUAUUUAUGAUUACGAGUGCAUAAGAGCUCUUACAGAAACUGUUCUCUAACCAUUUUGUCUCUCUUAGCACUUUGGAAGGGUGAGGCUAAAUUUGUGUUUUAAAAAUUGCACCAAAAACGAUUGGAUUAUAUUACAGAGUGAUGUACUGUAUCGUGUUCUCUGCUAGUCCUAAAUUGACUGAAAGCCUCUUUAAGCUGUCAGACUCCUAAGACAGUAUCAAAGACACUGUAAAAGAAUCAGGAUUUUUUUUAGGAAAAGAGUUGCUAUAUAAAGAUUUUUUUCUGAGUGUUUUUGUGAGAGGGGCAACCCCAUUGACUGGAAUUCCUGUGCUCCAAAAGCAGUGCACAACAUAUGCCAAGAACUGUGGCAAUGAUAAAAGCAGCGUAAGAACACCACGAGGCACUGAAAGCCUGGAAAUUCUGUUUUUGAAAGGAAACGUGGUGGAAACUGGAAAAAGCUUUACAGGAAAGUGGCGUUGCUAUCCUGAUACUGUGUCCUGCCUGGAAGAAGAAAUUAUCUCAAAGCAAACACCCAGAGACCAUCACACAAAGGAACAAACAAACCAAACCAAACCAAAAAAAAAACUCCUUUUCACAGAAGCACUGAAAUUAAAGCAGAGAAAGCUUAAUUUCCAUAGGCAGAGCAGGGCUGCAGAGAGCAGCGUUACACUUCUUUGCUUCCAUAUUAGUUCAUUAGAGGGGUCUGCGACAUCUGGCCCGCACGCCCUGACCCUACUGGUGAUGAAUGGAUUUAAUCUCUGGCAUGUGACACUGGCGUUCGUGAUUCCUGCAGGUUAAUUGAUUUCUUUUGGCAAAGCACAGCUCCAAGUCCCGUUGUCUGAGCAGCACGACUGACUGCAGAGAGAAAAUAAGGCGUCUUGAAAAAGAAAUUCUCCCAUACCCAGCAAAUAACAGGUAGGAUAUGAGAGAGGCUUGGCCAGGCAGGCAGUUAUCGUUGCCAAAGGUGCGCGGUGCCAAGUGCAGAUGGCCUGUCAGAUAGCUGGGAGAUGGACACUGGGUUUGAGUCCAGCACGGAGCUCUAAGCUGCUAAUAGCAAAAUACUCACUUGUCUUCUCUCACAGGCAGACAUGCAGCUAAUAACAAAUCCUUCUCUGUAAAUUCUUCCAAGAAGACCACCAAACCCUGUCAGCAAGAGCAGACGGGACCCAGUCGACAGCACAGACACCACGCACAUGGCAGGCAGAGAAGCCUUACUCAGCAGCUGCCAACCUUAUUAAAGAUACUGCCUUACUGUUCAGCAGUGUGUCAAGCCGGAAUUAAGCUGCCGUCUCCAGAAAUCUGAUGGUAGGAUGACAGAGUAUUUUUAACAUGGGAGUGGGCAUAUCCAGAAAGAAUGCAGAAGUCAUUCGAGAGAGAUUGCUUUGUUAGCCAUUGUUUAUGGCAACUGCUCUACAACUGGGACAGAUUGCAACGGUAGGAUCAGGAACUGAGUAAUGUAAAAUUCAGAAAUGAGGGUGAAUCGGACCAGGAAAGAGAAGGAUGCUGAAAAAGAGAGUACAGCAAAAGCAGGUCUGAUGCCUGCAUAACUAAGGUUCUUCACUAAGUGGACCAGUGACUGGUUUGGGAGCUGGCAUGCUUUGGGAGGAACAGAGUACAACCAAAUCUGCUCAGGCUAGACAACAACAGACAAAAAUAAACACAUUUAUUCAGGAUAAAAGAGAGCUGUAGGUUGUGAUCUCUCUACUACUUACUACCCUAUCACCAAAUUGUGUUUUUGGCUCCCAGCUGCAAUAAAAGUCACCCUGAGCACCUAGAAACUUCUGUUCAUCUUGCCAUGUCCCCAAGGGAUCAGCACUGCUUAGACUUGCUUGUACAGCUCAUGUCUGGCAUUACAGGAACAGAGCCGAAAGGCAGCCAGAGCAGUUCCCAUCCUCCUGGCUCCCCAGGCUCUGGAGGCCCGUAGGAUCCCAUACAGGUUUUCAUGUCUUCUCCAGAUUCUCUGCUGUACCAUUGCCCUCUUCUUUCUCUUAGGAGGUUCUUCCUAACAUCUAAUCUCCAACUUCACUUACUGCAACUUAAAGCCUUUAUAAGCAGAUAGUAACAAAGCGGGCACACGCCUGUCAUGCCACAUCCCCAAAGCCACACCAAAGUUCAACUAUGCAAGGCUUAAGCUUCUUACAAGAUACAUGAUGAGGUCUUGUUUGUCUUGUUUUCUCCAGCAUGUUUAAACACUUCAUCAUAGGUGGAAUAGAUACCUAUAGGCACCAGGAGAGGAAAAACUUUAUCUUGUAUUUGUGUGUGUUAGUAAAAGGAAGGUGGAGCUGCUCUUACAGGGACUCAGGACAGCAUUUUGGCACUGCUUUCAAAUCUCUUGCAUCCAUCUGAUAAGAUGGUGUGAGCCAGAGAGUGUCACCCAAACUGUUCACACGCUUGUGUCAAUUUCCAAACACCUUUUUUGCCUUGUAGCUGUAUCAUUUCUAGUGACAGUGACAUGCCAGGGCCACUCUCUUCAACGUACAGCAAGGUAUGCUCUGCUCUCUUGGUCUGUGCAAUUAUCACAGGCUGCUAAAAUGUCCACAUAGUUUUUUUUUGCUCCACGUAUCUACAUGUGUCACUAAACCGAUGCAAACACUUGUGCAGUGAGAUCUACACGGGUGAAGCUCAGUCACACAAAGUUCCCGUUGCUGUGGCUGUCUGAUGCAGCACUGCUGCUACCACAGCAUGUCUACGCCAUUGUUCCUCUACCGCUGCAAAUGGCUCUCGCAGCCACUUCACAGGAAUGAUAACCUCCUCCUCCUCCUCCCAGUGGGAGCAAGGCAAAGGCAACCUCCAGCUAGCUCCAGACUAGUCACCUGCCCGCAUAUUCAGCAUGCCAUUAUACACAGGUACUCUUAUUGUUCAACAAUUAGGAGAAAGAGACUAACCCCAGGAGUGUGUAUGUCAUGUGGAAGCGUCUUCUGAAUUACUGUAGUUGCCAACCGUGAGGUGGUCCGAAUCGGUUUCUUUACUGCAAAACAGUAGCUGUUUUUUACAAGCUGUAAGAAGGGACUGGGUAAGACUAUCUUUAGUACAGUGACCCUUGAGCGCGUGUGUCCCCACAUACACAGCUUCCUUCCUUCUUGCCUGCUGUGCUGUAGAUUAGAGGGGGUGAGCAGGACACAGGGGGCUGAGGUGGCACUCUGGGCUCAAAGCUGACCACCAAGCUCUGUAAGGUAUCUCUUGCUGUCCACCUAGCAGUCCACAGGUCCAGCACACAGCAGCCCCUCACGGAUGGCCUGGCCUGUGGCAUGCUCACG